GACGAACGCUGGCGGCGUGCUUAACACAUGCAAGUCGAACGGAAAGGCCCUGCUUUUGUGGGGUGCUCGAGUGGCGAACGGGUGAGUAACACGUGAGUAACCUGCCCUUGACUUUGGGAUAACUUCAGGAAACUGGGGCUAAUACCGGAUAGGAGCUCCUGCUGCAUGGUGGGGGUUGGAAAGUUUCGGCGGUUGGGGAUGGACUCGCGGCUUAUCAGCUUGUUGGUGGGGUAGUGGCUUACCAAGGCUUUGACGGGUAGCCGGCCUGAGAGGGUGACCGGCCACAUUGGGACUGAGAUACGGCCCAGACUCCUACGGGAGGCAGCAGUGGGGAAUAUUGCACAAUGGGCGGAAGCCUGAUGCAGCAACGCCGCGUGCGGGAUGACGGCCUUCGGGUUGUAAACCGCUUUCGCCUGUGACGAAGCGUGAGUGACGGUAAUGGGUAAAGAAGCACCGGCUAACUACGUGCCAGCAGCCGCGGUGAUACGUAGGGUGCGAGCGUUGUCCGGAUUUAUUGGGCGUAAAGGGCUCGUAGGUGGUUGAUCGCGUCGGAAGUGUAAUCUUGGGGCUUAACCCUGAGCGUGCCUUCGAUACGGGUUGACUUGAGGAAGGUAGGGGAGAAUGGAAUUCCUGGUGGAGCGGUGGAAUGCGCAGAUAUCAGGAGGAACACCAGUGGCGAAGGCGGUUCUCUGGGCCUUUCCUGACGCUGAGGAGCGAAAGCGUGGGGAGCGAACAGGCUUAGAUACCCUGGUAGUCCACGCUGUAAACGGUGGGUACUAGGUGUGGGGUCCAUUCCACGGGUUCCGUGCCGUAGCUAACGCUUUAAGUACCCCGCCUGGGGAGUACGGCCGCAAGGCUAAAACUCAAAGGAAUUGACGGGGCCCCGCACAAGCGGCGGAGCAUGCGGAUUAAUUCGAUGCAACGCGUAGAACCUUACCUGGGUUUGACAUGGAUCGGGAGCGCUCAGAGAUGGGUGUGCCUCUUUUGGGGUCGGUUCACAGGUGGUGCAUGGCUGUCGUCAGCUCGUGUCGUGAGAUGUUGGGUUAAGUCCCGCAACGAGCGCAACCCUUGUUCACUGUUGCCAGCACGUUAUGGUGGGGACUCAGUGGAGACCGCCGGGGUCAACUCGGAGGAAGGUGGGGAUGACGUCAAGUCAUCAUGCCCCUUAUGUCCAGGGCUUCACGCAUGCUACAAUGGCUGGUACAGAGAGUGGCGAGCCUGUGAGGGUGAGCGAAUCUCGGAAAGCCGGUCUCAGUUCGGAUUGGGGUCUGCAACUCGACCUCAUGAAGUCGGAGUCGCUAGUAAUCGCAGAUCAGCAACGCUGCGGUGAAUACGUUCCCGGGGCU
rnacentral:rRNA from 1 species